CAGCGCCACAAGUGGCAAUCACGUUUAUUGGGCCUAAAGCGUCCGUAGCCGGUUUAGCAAAUCUUUUGUGAAAUCGUCAGGCUUAACUUGACGAAUUGCAGAAGACACUACUAAACUAGGGACUGGGAGGAGUCAGAAGUAUUCUGGGGGGACCGGUAAAAUGGUGUAAUCCCCAGAGGACUACCGAUGGCGAAGGCAUCUGACCAGAACAGAUCCGACGGUGAGGGACGAAAGCCAGGGGAGCAAACCGGAUUAGAUACCCGAGUAGUCC
rnacentral:rRNA from 1 species